UGACCUCGGAUCAGGUAGGGAUACCCGCUGAACUUAAGCAUAUCAAUAAGCGG
rnacentral:rRNA from 7 species